AGACUCAGCCUACCCGGUUUAUGAUCGGGAUGGGUUGGAUGUGGGCGCUGCCGAUUGCCGGCUCGCCUUAAAUGUCUUAGCGGCUUCGGAUGCCCCGACCUGGCGUAAUAAGUUUCGCUGGAGAGGGUGCGGAUGACUGCUCACAAUCGCCCUUGGGCAACCUUUUGA
rnacentral:misc_RNA from 1 species